AAGGAGAAAAAUCACUCAUUCUGUCGUAUCAGGGGUUUUUUGAUUACAAGAGGUGAAACUUAAGUUAACUUCAGCAAACGUUAAUUUAUCGGAAAGAAAUGUGAGAGACGGUGUCUGGGUUCUCCGGAGACACAGAGACUGAGGCUGAGAGAGAUUUAUUUUAAGCAGUUGCCUCGGUGGCUAUGGGGGUUGGCAAAUUCAACAUUUGCAGGGCGGGCUGGCAGCCUGGAGACUCAGGCAGGACUCCUAUGUGGCAGUCUUGGGGAGGAUGCCUUCAAUAUAUCUGGUUCUUCUCACAUUUUCAGUUCUGGAGGCCAGAAGUUCAAGGUCAGGGUGUCAGCAGGCCUGGUUCCUUCGGAGGGCUGUGAGGAGGCGGUCACCCCUCUGCUGAGGUCCAAGCGUACUGAUUUCAUGGCCUGAUUCUCAGGUUUCACAGAGGUGGACUGUGAGCCUCAGAGGCAUUCGAGAUGCCUGUGGUUUGAGCUGGCCAGAGGCCUGUCUGGGAGCCAGGAGGCCCAGGUGUCCUGGAUGUCCUCCGGUCAAGCCCUGGGCCCGGGCCAGCCCUCUCUUCCAGGAAACACUUGGCCAGGACCCGGGAAGAACCCGCCGGCAUCCCUUCCGGGUACGUGGGCCAUCCACCUCCGGGCCCAGGCCAGGCCUCCUGUGAGGCCAGCCCCCUGUGCCGCCCAGACUCCCUUCCUGUCUUUGACGGGGAAAUGCAGAGCUUUUCUGCACCCAGCCCACCACCACACAGACUUCGCCGGGGACAAGAGAGGACUGUGCGGCACAGAGGUGUCUCGGGACCUCAGUGUCCCCAUCGGAUGCUGGUAGAAGACUGUGACCACCUCCGAGGGGUGUCGUGAGGAUUAAAGACGUGGGCACAGGAGAGGCACGUGGCACAGCGUUGGACACGUGGUGAGUGCCGUGUACUCCGGCCCUUCUUUCUUUUGCAAGGUGUUUCCUCGGUCACUGUCCUGGCAGAUGGUGCCCAUGGGGGCAGAGGCCCAGGAAGAGGUGUCUCACCCGAGGACACUGUGGGAGCCGUGGCCGCACUGAGCCUGGAGCCCCGGAGCCGGGCACCGUCCAUUGAGAUCACGCGGGAGCUGGUUGGACACGAAGACUCUCAGGCCCUGCCCCAGACCCACAGACUCGGAAUCCGCACUGUAACAAGAGCCUGGCUGAUCCGUGUGCCCGUUACAGACGCGGGGUGAGCGUGUCUGGGCAACUGCACGGAGGUGGAUAAGGAGCUGAGGGUGAUGCCAGCCCCCCGGGGCAGCACCUGCGCCUGGCUCUGGAACUCUCGGGGCGUUGGCUCCUGCAGUCAGCCAGGCCUGCGCACGGUCACAGCCGUGCUGGCGAGUGAGUGCUGAGCUGGAAGCAGGCCCCGAGUCCCCUGUGAGCCUAAAUCUCCCCGGGGGAAGUCAGGAAUCUGAGCCAAUACAUGAGGAGAAAACUGGAAUUGGCCAGGCUGACCUGGGAGCAGCGGGUGGGGAUUCCAGCAAAGGGGGCGGCCUGUACCAAUUCCUGAGCUGUGUUUUCGGAGGACAGGGUUUUGCAGACUUUACCCGAACACUGUCAGGGCCCAGGGCAAUUGGAAGCCCCCGUGCUCUGUAUCUGCACAUUCAAAAGUUAUAAAUCAAAAAACUCACAAACUAUUAAAUACACUGUUCUAGCCUCUUA